AGUGAACGCUGGCGGUAGGCCUAACACAUGCAAGUCGAACGGCAGCACAGUAAGAGCUUGCUCUUACGGGUGGCGAGUGGCGGACGGGUGAGGAAUACAUCGGAAUCUACUUUUUCGUGGGGAUAACGUAGGGAAACUUACGCUAAUACCGCAUACGACCUACGGGUGAAAGCAGGGGAUCUUCGGACCUUGCGCGAUUGAAUGAGCCGAUGUCGGAUUAGCUAGUUGGCGGGGUAAAGGCCCACCAAGGCGACGAUCCGUAGCUGGUCUGAGAGGAUGAUCAGCCACACUGGAACUGAGACACGGUCCAGACUCCUACGGGAGGCAGCAGUGGGGAAUAUUGGACAAUGGGCGCAAGCCUGAUCCAGCCAUACCGCGUGGGUGAAGAAGGCCUUCGGGUUGUAAAGCCCUUUUGUUGGGAAGGAAAAGCAGCAGGUUAAUACCCCGCUGUUCUGACGGUACCCAAAGAAUAAGCACCGGCUAACUUCGUG
rnacentral:rRNA from 1 species